rnacentral:lncRNA from 1 species
UGCUAAGCGGAAACACAAAAUCAAAUCAAUUGGGAACUAAAGAGAAGGAAAUAGAGGAGCAAAGAGAAUAAUACACAAGAUUUAACGUGAAAAAAUCCCCUCAGUGUGGGAGGUAAAAAACCAUGGACGAUCAUGAGCAAAGUUCCACUAUGUAAGAAAGGGAGAGUACAACAAAUCUUCUUAUAGUAAUAAGGACAAAAAACAAUAUUCUCUCACAAAUAAUCUCUCAAAUGGAACAAGAAUUCUCACCACAAAAUCACUCACACAAUAAACAUAAACAUUCUAGUAUGUAAGUAAUGAAGUUGC